CAGGGAUUGAAGAUUAUAGCAUCGACCUAUCCCCAAAUUUUUAAGAGAGGUGAGGUGCAGAAGCCCCUUGUCCAGAAACUUCAGAUUCUCAAGACUGAUGAGAUUAAGUGAGGAAAGAGUGGAUGGCAGCAGCAUCUUCCCAGGAAAGGAUACCAUAUCAACGCCAUCGUACCCAACAAUGGUAAGCUCCAAAAGAGAGGACGCUGCGCGCAAAUCCCAAUGCAUGAGGUGAGCAACGAGUUUGCUGCACUUACAAAUGCCAAGUGACUCUAAUUGAGAGGGCAAAACCCCUCCCAGAAACAACUCAAGCUUUGGACAAUUGACUACCGUCAAAUUUUUGAGGUCUUGAAGUCCCUUGUAGUCUAUGGAUUUCAGGUUUUGAAAACCAUUAAUUUGAAGAGAGAUAAGAGUUGAUGGCAGCAGCAUCUCCCCUGGAAAAGCUUCCACAUCGUCACAGCUUUCAAUAACAAUUUUCACAAGAGAGUGGAAGGUUUGCAGAUCCCACUGCAUGCAGCCUGCGAUCAGUUUGUUGCCACCACCAACAUCCAGCGAUUCUAAUUUUUCCAGCAAACAUCCUUAUUGGAAAUGGCUCGAGUUGCGGACAAUAACGGAUAUAUAGAGAAGAAAGGGAGGAGGGUAGCCCAUCCUUGGGAAAACACUCUAGUGCUGGACAAUGCAUUAUACUAAAAUCAGGUCGUGAAUAGUGUUUAAUUAGUUAAGAAAAAAUUUUAAUCGGAUUCAGGUCGUGAGAAUGUUAAUUGAGUCCAGAUUCCAACA